UUGUUUUUAUACGGUGGAAAUUCGCCAUUCGGCAUCCCUAAGCAUCACGAGUAUAAAUAGCUCGCGAAUCCCGACAUUCAGCAAAUAAUACAAGAUGAAGCUGCUCUUUCUCCUCGGUAUCGUAUUGUUGUCGGUGAUCCUGUCUGCGGACCCAACGGACGGGCUAAAGCACGGAGACUCCAUCCCAUGCGCGUGUUUCAGAAGCCCCUGUCACUGCUAACUUGUAGCGACGCCUACGACAAGACCGAACUCCUGGACGUCAGCGCCAACAGACAAGAAAUUAUCUAAUAAAGCUUCUUUUCAGUCUAAUUAAAAGUAUAUUUGAUUAUUGGUUCCGUUUUUGGUCCCGUUGUUUCGCUGUUCGCUUCGCAACGCAGUGCAAAACUCACAGUAGCAAAGAGGGAUAAAAGCAGAUGUGUAUGCAAACAGAUUUGUAUAUAUGCAUAUGGAAAAAAUAGGAAUAAAGGUAUGAUUUCAUGUGUGUGUCUGUGUGUGAG